rnacentral:rRNA from 1 species
AAUAUUUGUCAAUGGACGCAAGUCUGAACCAGCCAUGCCGCGUGCAGGAAGACUGCCNNNUGGGUNGUAAACUGCUUUUGUACNGGCNCAAACCCUUCUACGUGUAGGAGGCUGAGUGUACCGUAAGCAUAAGGAUGGGCCAACUCCGUGCCAGCAGCCGCGGUAAUACGGAGGAUCCAAGCGUUAUCCGGAUUUAUGGGGUUUAAAGGGUGCGUAGGCGGCCCGUUAAGUCAGGGGUGAAAGACGGCAGCUCAACUGUCGCAGUGCCUUUGAUACUGACGGGCUUGAAUGCGGAUGAGGUAGGCGGAAUGAGACAAGUAGCGGUGAAAUGCAUAGAUAUGUCUCAGAACUCCGAUUGCGAAGGCAGCUUACUAAGCCGUGAUUGACGCUGAUGCACGAAAGCGUGGGGAUCAAACAG